rnacentral:rRNA from 1 species
UACGAAGGGGGCUAGCGUUGCUCGGAAUUACUGGGCGUAAAGGGCGCGUAGGCGGAUGUCUAAGUUGGGGGUGAAAUCCCGGGGCUCAACCUCGGAACCGCCUUCAAUACUGGAUAUCUUGAGUUCGGGAGAGGUGAGUAGAGUGCCGAGUGUAGAGGUGAAAUUCGUAGAUAUUCGGCGGAACACCAGUGGCGAAGGCGACUCACUGGCCCGAUACUGACGCUGAGGCGCGAAAGCGUGGGGAGCAAACAGG